AUUGAACGCUGGCGGCAGGCCUAACACAUGCAAGUCGAACGAGUGGCGGACGGGUGAGUAAUGUCUGGGAACCUGCCUGAUGGAGGGGUAUCACUACUGGAAACGGUAGCUAAUACCGCAUACCAUCAGCUUUGCCCCGCUGGGAUGAGCUUGUUGGUGGGUGAACGGCUCACCAAGGCGACGAUCCCUAGCUGGUCUGAGAGGAUGACCAGCAACACUGGAACUGAGACACGGUCCAGACUCCUACGGGAGGCAGCAGUGGGGAAUAUUGCACAAGGGGCGCAAGCCUGAGGCAGCCAUGCCGCGUGUAUGAAGAAGGCGUUCGGGUUGUAAAGUACGUUCAGCGGGGAGGCGUUACCCGCAGAAGAAGCACCGGCGAACUCCGUGCCAGCAGCCGCGGUAAUUC
rnacentral:rRNA from 1 species